rnacentral:rRNA from 1 species
GAUGAACGCUGGCGGCGUGCUUAACACAUGCAAGUCGAACGAGAAGUGAAGACGGAAACCUUCGGGCGGAAGGCUUUAUUUCGAGUGGCGGACGGGUGAGUAACGCGUGGGUAACCUGCCUCAUACAGGGGGAUAACAGUUGGAAACGACUGUUAAUACCGCAUAAGACCACAGCACCGCAUGGUGCGGGGGUAAAAACUCCGGUGGUAUGAGAUGGACCCGCGUUCGAUUAGCCAGUUGGCGGGGUAACGGCCCACCAAAGCGACGAUCGAUAGCCGAUCUGAGAGGAUGACCGGCCACAUUGGGACUGAGACACGGCCCAAACUCCUACGGGAGGCAGCAGUGGGGAAUAUUGCACAAUGGGGGAAACCCUGAUGCAGCGACGCCGCGUGAGUGGAGAAGUAUUUCGGUAUGUAAAGCUCUAUCAGCAGGGAAGAAAAUGACGGCACCUGAGUAAGAAGCCCCGGCUAACUACGUG